UACAGAGGUGGCGAGCGUUGUUCGGAUUUACUGGGCGUAAAGGGUGCGUAGGCGGUUUGAUAAGUCGGAUGUGAAAUCCCACGGCUCACCCGUGGAACUGCAUCCGAUACUGUUGAACUGGAGUAUCGGAGAGGUAUGUGGAAUUCUUGGUGUAGCGGUGAAAUGCGUAGAGAUCAAGAAGAACACCGGUGGCGAAAGCGACAUACUGGACGAAUACUGACGCUGAGGCACGAAAGCUGGGGGAGCGAAGAGG
rnacentral:rRNA from 1 species